AAUCACCCCACAAGACCAGAUGUCAGCUUUAGCACCCUCAUAUCCUUUUCUACCAAUCACCUCGGGAGCAACAUAUGCUGGUGUACCACAGGUUGUGUGGAGUAACCCAUCUUGUCGCUUAGACUCUGCUAAUGCACUCAAACCAAAGUCUGAGACCUUUAGGUUUCCAUUCUCAUCCAGUAGGAGAUUUUCCGGUUUGAGAUCACGGUGAUAAACACCUCGGCUGUGGCAAAAUUCAACUGCAUUGAUCAGUUGCUGAAACAACUUUCUAGCAACAUCUUCUGUGAGCCUCCCCUUUGUCAGUUUGUUGAAAAGCUCGCCACCUUUGGCAUGUUCGAUCACAAAGUAAAUCUUACUCUUGGUUGCCAUGACCUCGUAUAGCUGCACAACAUGUCGAUGUUUGACCAUUGCCAUAACGGAUAUCUCUCGUUUCGUCUGUUCAGUCAAUUCAGCUUUCUGAACCUUCUCUUUAUCAAUUACUUUAAUGGCUACAGUUUGUCCGCUUUCCAGAUCCCUUCCAUAAUAAACCUUACCAAAGUUGCCUUGACCUAAUAAUCUCCCCAAUUCAUAUUUUUGCAUCACUACAUUUCCAUUUUUCACCAUUUUCAACAAACAAUCCUACUAAUUUAUACUAUAAGUAACACUCCUGCUGAUAUGAUAAUUUUCUAUUUACAGGCACGAAACCUUGUUUCAGAGUUCAACCGUCUGCAACAAGGCCGUGCUUCAGUAGCACAACAUUCUUAAUUACUGUUACUUCAUCGUGCAUCUGGCACGAGAACUUAAAUGCUCUAUGAGCUGCAAAUUUGAAAUCAUGAUGUAGAAAACAGAAUAACCCCAAUGCAGAUGGAAACUCAGAGGCUUCUAAGAGCCGAGAGCUGUUGUUUCACCCCAUCUAUCAUGUCACAGAGCUCUGAAUACAAGUAGAGACGAUCCAAGGAGAAAAAUGUUUGAUUUGGUGAAGCUCCCUUUAUAUUUAUAUAUAUAUACAUUAAAGUUGUGACUAA
rnacentral:misc_RNA from 1 species